rnacentral:rRNA from 1 species
UACGUAGGAGGCAAGCGUUGUCCGGAAUUAUUGGGCGUAAAGAGCGUGUAGGCGGUCCGGUAAGUCAGCUGUGAAAGUCAAGGGCUCAACCCUUGAAAGCCGGUUGAUACUGUCGGGCUAGAGUCCGGAAGAGGCGAGUGGAAUUCCCGGUGUAGCGGUGAAAUGCGCAGAUAUCGGGAGGAACACCAAUGGCGAAGGCAGCUCGCUGGGACGGUACUGACGCUGAGACGCGAAAGCGUGGGGAGCAAACAGG